CUACGGGCCGCACCAGUGAGGAAUAUUGCACAAUGGGGGGAACCCUGAUGCAGCAACGCCGCGUGGAGGAUGACGCAUUUCGGUGUGUAAACUCCUUUUAUAUGUCAAGAAAAUGACGGUAGCAUAUGAAUAAGCACCGGCUAACUCCGUGCCAGCAGCCGCGGUAAUACGGAGGGCGCAAGCGCUACUCGGAAUCACUGGGCGUAAAGGACGCGUAGGCGGGUUGAAAAGUCAGGUGUGAAAGCCUACAGCUUAACUGUAGAACUGCACUUGAAACUCUCAAUCUAGAGUAUGGGAGGGGCAGAUGGAAUUAGUGGUGUAGGGGUAAAAUCCGUAGAUAUCACUAGGAAUACCUAAAGCGAAGGCGAUCUGCUGGAACAUUACUGACGCUAAGGCGUGAAAGCGUGGGGAGCAAACAGGAUUAGAUACCCUCGUAGUC
rnacentral:rRNA from 1 species